GUGCUUGCAUUGGCAGCACAUACACUAAAAUUGGACCAAUACAGAGAAGAUUAGCAUGGCCCCUGUGCAAGGAUGACAUGCAAAUUUGUGAAGCACUCCAUAUUAAA
rnacentral:snRNA from 1 species